rnacentral:tRNA from 1 species
GGUUGUGGCUCAGUGGUACAGUGCUUGCCUCACACAUGUAAGGCCCUGAGUUCGAUCCUCAGCACCA